rnacentral:rRNA from 1 species
CAGUAGCCGCGGGAAUACGUAGGUGGCAAGCGUUGCCCGGAAUUAUUGGGCGUAAAGCGCGCGCAGGCGGUUUCUUAAGUCUGAUGUGAAAGCCCCCGGCUCAACCGGGGAGGGUCAUUGGAAACUGGGAAACUUGAGUGCAGAAGAGGAGUGUGGAAUUCCACGUGUAGCGGUGAAAUGCGUAGAGAUGUGGAGGAACACCAGUGGCGAAGGCGACUCUCUGGUCUGUAACUGACGCUGAGGAGCGAAAGCGUGGGGAGCAAACAGGAUUAGAUACCCGAGUAGUCCCUGUCUCUUAUAA